rnacentral:lncRNA from 1 species
UCUAAAAAGAGACAAUGCCUCUGAGAUGACUGAACUCAUCCUUGUUGGAUUUGCCCAACACCCUGAAAUCCAGACUGCCUUCUUCUUGGAACUACUGUUUUUCUACUAGUCACAGCGUUUGAGAACAUCCUUAUCGUUGCUGUAGUGAGAUGAGAUUCUCGACUUCAUACUCCUAUGGGAUUUUUUUUUCCUCAGUACCUUAUCCUCCCUUGAAAUGUGUUACUCCAUCAGCUGGGAGCUAUAAGUCUUGGCUCAAUGCAUCAAGGACUUCCCCACCAUCUCCUAUAACAGCUGUUCUGUUCAGAUGAUCACACACCUCUUUCUGGGGAUGACAGUGUCUCCUCCUUGCUGGCAUGGCUUACAACAGGUUUGUUGAAAUCUCUUAUCUCCUCCAUUACACUAUUAUUAUGAGCAAUCGGGUCUGUAUACAGUUGGCCUUGGGAAUCUGGACCCAUGCCUUCUUAGUAGCAGUCACACUAAUCAUUGCAAUUCCUGCUAGUUAUUAUGGACACAAUGUCAUCAACCAUUUUACCUUGAGAUCCAGGCCCUGCUGAAGCUCGUCUGCUCAGACACCCUUGUCAGCCUGAUUCAGGGUCUGGUUAUCAGUGUGUUCACACUGCCCCUGCCCUUCACAUUCAUCCUCAUCUCCUAAUUUUGCAUUUUUGUUGUGCUGUGGAGGCUAGGCGUGAAGCUUUCUCCACCUGUGGAUCUCAUCUGACUGGAGUCACCAUAUUUUAUGGGGCAGCCAUCUGCAUGUACUUGAAACCUCAGUCAAAGGGAACCCAGGAAGAGGAUAAAGUUGUCUCAAAACUUUAUGGAGCAGUUACUCCCAUGUUAAAUCCCCCAAUUUACAUUCAGAGAAAUAAGGAUAUAAAAGGUGCACUUAGAA